rnacentral:rRNA from 1 species
UGCCAGCAGCCGCGGUAAUACGGAGGGUGCAAGCGUUGCUCGGAAUCACUGGGCGUAAAGCGUACGCAGGCGGCCUAUUAAGUCGGGUGUGAAAUCCCGGAGCUCAACUCCGGAACUGCGCCCGAUACUGGUAGGCUUGAGUACGGAAGAGGGAAGCGGAAUUCCUGGUGUAGAGGUGAAAUUCGUAGAUAUCAGGAGGAACACCAGUGGCGAAAGCGGCUUCCUGGUCCGAUACUGACGCUCAUGUACGAAAGCGUGGGGAGCAAACAGGAUUAGAUA